GCUUAUGAGCCUGCCGGAGAAAAGGAACCUAAAUCUACUGCUACACAGAGAAGCGGAGCCUCCAUCUUGCGCUGCUCCGCGUUCUCCAUUUUGGGCCACCCAUGGGGGGGGGGGGGUCUCCGUAGAGGCCCCGAGGGAGAGUUGGGCGAGGGAAGGAAGAGAAAAUCUUCAGCGAGGGUAGUCGAAAAGAAGAGCCCUGCGGUAGAAAGCCACUCUAGGAGUAGGAGCCCACUGGUCCCGUCUCCGAGAAAACGUGGUCUGUGUCUCCAGGGUCUAGGAGUCCUAAGGAACUGGACUACUAGGCUAGGCCGGGCGCUCGACCAAUUUGUUCGCCACUCUCGGGGCAGAGGAAGAGAUACGACCGAGCGAAGUGGAGGGAAAUCGAAAUUUGGGCAAAGGAGUGUGGGGGGACCCCGCCUCACCCGCGCAUCCACUGGCUUCCUGGGCGGGGGCAGCAGCGCGAAAUUGUUGAGAAUUUAGGUUACCUCGCACCCUGCCUUCCCAACCCUCCCCCAAGAUGUUUGAAGUGCGAAAAGACCCUUUCUGUUCCUCCGACCCCUGUUAACUAAAAUGUUUGUCACCCUUAUUUUUUUAUUUGUUUCGAAUCCAGUGUACUGGACCUUUGACCGCCAAGAGCUCUUUACUCGGGGGAGAAAAACUCGGGGAGGGCCUAUCCCAUCCAAAGCACCGCUUUUUCCUUGGACAGGAAGAAGUGACCUAUUACAGUGUCUCCAUUGCUGUUAUAGAAGUUCGUAGAUUCAUAAAAUAGUGUUUGCUUAAGAAGUCUUCGUUUCUGUUCCUUUUGUGAAAUUUUGGUUAAAAUAUUUCUUAAAUAUUAAACUACAUUUCAGUUAGAAGAAAAGGAAUAAAACGUAUUAAUAACAAAACA
rnacentral:lncRNA from 1 species